ACGAACGCUGGCGGCGUGCUUAACACAUGCAAGUCGAACGGAAAGGCCUGCAGCUUGCUGCGGGUACUCGAGUGGCGAACGGGUGAGUAACACGUGGGUGAUCUGCCUUGCACUUCGGGAUAAGCUUGGGAAACUGGGUCUAAUACCGGAUAGGACAGCUGUUUAGUGUCAGUUGUGGAAAGUUUUUUCCGGUGCAAGAUGAGCUCGCGGCCUAUCAGCUUGUUGGUGGGGUAAUGGCCUACCAAGGCGUCGACGGGUAGCCGGCCUGAGAGGGUGUACGGCCACAUUGGGACUGAGAUACGGCCCAGACUCCUACGGGAGGCAGCAGUGGGGAAUAUUGCACAAUGGGCGGAAGCCUGAUGCAGCGACGCCGCGUGGGGGAUGAAGGCCUUCGGGUUGUAAACUCCUUUCGACAGGGACGAAGCGUAAGUGACGGUACCUGUAUACACGAAGCACCGGCUAACUACGUGCCAGCAGCCGCGGUAAUACGUAGGGUGCGAGCGUUGUCCGGAAUUACUGGGGCGUACAAGAAGCAUCGAAGGUGGAAACA
rnacentral:rRNA from 1 species